AGAAUACCAAUUGCGAAGGCAGCUUUUUGGAUCAUUACUGACACUGAGGAACGAAAGCAUGGGUAGCGAAGAGGAUUAGAUACCCUCGUAGUCCAUGCCGUAAACGAUGUGUGUUAGACGUUGGAAAUUUAUUUUCAGUGUCGCAGCGAAAGCGAUAAACACACCGCCUGGGGAGUACGACCGCAAGGUUAAAACUCAAAUGAAUUGACGGGGACCCGCACAAGUAGUGGAGCAUGUGGUUUAAUUCGAAGAUACGCGCAGAACCUUACCAACACUUGACAUGUUCGUCGCGACUUUAAGAGAUUAAAGUUUUCGGUUCGGCCGGACGAAACACAGGUGCUGCAUGGCUGUCGUCAGCUCGUGUCGUGAGAUGUUGGGUUAAGUCCCGCAACGAGCGCAACCCUCACUUUUAGUUGCCAUCAUUUAGUUGGGCACUCUGAAAGAACUGCCAGUGAUAAGCUGGAGGAAGGUGGGGAUGACGUCAAGUCCUCAUGGCCCUUACGUGUUGGGCUACACACGUGCUACAAUGGUAUCUACAACAGGAAGCAAGACGGCGACGUUAAGCAAAUCCUUAAAAGAUACCUCAGUUCGGAUUGCACUCUGCAACUCGAGUGCAUGAAGCUGGAAUUACUAGUAAUCGUGGAUCAGCGUGCCACGGUGAAUGCGUUCCCGGGUCUUGUACACACCGCCCGUCACACCAUGGGAGUUGGUUCUACCUUAAGGCAAGGUUUAAAAUCCUUGACCACGGUAUAGUCAGCGACUGGGGUGAAGUCGUAACAAGGUAGCCGUAGGGGAACCUGCGGCUG
rnacentral:rRNA from 1 species